AUACUUACCUGGCAGGGGAGAUACCAUGAUCACGAAGGUGAUUUUCCCAGGGCGAGGCUUAUCCAUUACACUCCAGAUGUGCUCACCCCUGUGAUUUCCCCAAAUGUGGGAAACUUGACUGCAUAAUUUGUGGUAGUGGGGGACAGCGUUCGUGCUUUCCCCCG
ensembl:snRNA U1 U1 spliceosomal RNA